rnacentral:misc_RNA from 1 species
UCCUCGUGUUGCUUACCAAUGAAAAGGAAUAGGAUAGUCUUGUUCUGCGGUUCCACCUUGUGCUCUUUGGGGUGUGAGGUGGACAUGUGGCAAGCACUGUGUUCCCAACAUGCCAAGUGCAUUGGUGUUUUGGUUGUUGUGGCCUAUGGUGUCUUUGCUUGUUCUCUCGGAUGCGGAAAGCUAAGUGUGGGCUUGAGGUCUCGACCUUGAAUCGUCCAAGCACYGUCCUUUUACUUGAAUGACUGCUGCACCUGUCUUGAUCUUCCCGACCAAGGCCACGUAAUGGGGCUUACUGGACGAGGGUGGAUCAUGCAGGUUUUGGCGUCAAAGAGGAAAGCUAC